UUGCCUUUUAAAUGAAGACUGUGGCACGAAUGUUCUCAAGUGUCCUCAAAUGUCCCUUAGCUUUUCUUUGUAAGAUAUGUUGAUUGGUGGACCAUUUUUAUGAGGGUUCAUUCCAAAAUUCCGAUGGACCAGACCUCAUCAUAAAAUGGACUGUCAAUAUGAAAAGAUCUACUGCAAUUCAAAUACAGCAAACAAAUUUUCAAAUAUCAGAAAUACUUGAUUAUUUUAAUUUUAUUUUACCUAUCUCCCUGAUACUUUUGCUGCUCUCUCACACUCUUUACAAAGUUUCCUUGGGGACUGUCUUCUUUACACAUUCUGUUAAACUUUUAUCCAUCAAGUGAACUGACAUAUCAUGGGUUGAGUGAAAUCUUAAUUUAGCUAAAAUGGUUGAUCUAUUCUGUUUUCACAAAUUUAGUUGGUAUUGCUAUACCUAUAUUAGUUGGUAUUUUGAAUAGCUAAAUGUUUAUUUUGUCUUUGGCUGUUGCAGAUUUUGCUUGUUCAGAAAUGAGAAAAUCAGUUAAGCUUUCGGAUCAAAGCAAAGCUGAGAAUAGGGUGUUAGUUGAUGGCAAAUUGAUAACCAGUAGAGGCACAUCCAUGGAGUUCUUGCUUGCGAUUGUUGAGAAGCUAUUUGGCUGUGAGAAGGCAUUGGAUCUUGUUGUCAAUGAGAACUUUAAAUAGACAUAACUAUUAUGUUGGCAUUGUACUUUUGUGAAUGGAUUAAAAUGAAUGAUUGUAUUUGAUUGAUUGAA